rnacentral:tRNA from 1 species
GCUGCUGUAGCUCAGUGGUAGAGCACCCCCUUGGUAAGGGGGAGGCCGACAGUUCAAUCCUGUCCAGCAGCACCA